rnacentral:rRNA from 1 species
AUUGAACGCUGGCGGAAUGCUUUACACAUGCAAGUCGAACGGCAGCACGGACUUCGGUCUGGUGGCGAGUGGCGAACGGGUGAGUAAUGUAUCGGAAUGUGCCCAGUCGUGGGGGAUAACGUAGCGAAAGUUACGCUAAUACCGCAUACGAUCUAAGGAUGAAAGCGGGGGAUCGCAAGACCUCGCGCGAUUGGAGCGGCCGAUAUCAGAUUAGGUAGUUGGUGGGGUAAAGGCUCACCAAGCCAACGGUCUGUAGGUGGUCUGAGAGGACGACCAGCCACACUGGAACUGAGACACGGUCCAGACUCCUACGGGAGGCAGCAGUGGGGAAUUUUGGACAAUGGACGCAAGUCUGAUCCAGCCAUUCCGCGUGCAGGAUGAAGGCCCUCGGGUUGUAAACUGCUUUUGUACAGAACGAAAAGGUUUCUACUAAUACUAGGAGCUCAUGACGGUACUGUAAGAAUAAGCACCGGCUAACUACGUGCCAGCCGCCGCGGUAA